AAUUACUAUAAACAUAUAAAAACAAUUAAAACAUUCAAUUGUAAAUUAUAAAACACUUAAAUAGUCAUUGAUUUAAAUCUGAAUGAAUACUUUAAUAGCAAUGACGAAAUUUGAUAUAUUGGACUAAAUGAUGAGUCAAAUUUUUAAUAUUUUGAUAACAUUUUUCCAUGUUUGGUGGAGGUCUAGCAUAUAAAAAUUAAUUAAAAAAAGUUUAAGAUAAAAUUUAAAAAACGUUGCAUUUUCAUAUUAGUUGUCCUAAUUAA
rnacentral:lncRNA from 1 species